UACGUAGGGGGCAAGCGUUGUCCGGAUUUACUGGGCGUAAAGCGCGCGUAGGUGGAAGGUCAAGUCCGGCUUGAAAGCCCCCGGCUCAACCGGGGAGAGUGGCUGGAAACUGGCUUUCUUGAGGGCGAGAGAGGAGGGUGGAAUUCCUGGUGUAGCGGUGAAAUGCGUAGAGAUCAGGAGGAACACCGGUGGCGAAGGCGGGUCUCUGGGCAACUACUGACGCUGAGGAGCGAAAGCGUGGGGAGCGAACAGG
rnacentral:rRNA from 1 species